UACGGAGGGGGCUAGCGUUGUUCGGAAUUACUGGGCGUAAAGCGCACGUAGGCGGUUUAUCAAGUCAGAUGUGAGAGCCCCGGGCUUAACCUGGGAACUGCAUUUGAUACUGGUUGACUAGAGGCCGGGAGAGGGUAGUGGAAUUCCCAGUGUAGAGGUGAAAUUCGUAGAUAUUGGGAAGAACACCGGUGGCGAAGGCGGCUACCUGGACCGGACCUGACGCUGAGGUGCGAAAGCGUGGGUAGCAAACAGG
rnacentral:misc_RNA from 1 species